rnacentral:rRNA from 1 species
CGGAGGCAGCAGUGGGGAAUAUUGCGCAAUGGGCGAAAGCCUGACGCAGCAACGCCGCGUGAGCGAUGAAGGCCUUCGGGUCGUAAAGCUCUUUUCCCGGGGAUGAGGAUGGACAGUACCCGGGGAAUAAGUCACGGCUAACUACGUGCCAGCAGCCGCGGUAAAACGUAGGUGGCAAGCGUUAUCCGGAUUCACUGGGCGUAAAGCGCACGCAGGCGGCCUGGUGGGUAGGGCAUGAAAUCUCCUGGCUUAACUGGGAGAGGUUGUCCUAUACCGCCAAGCUUGAGGAUGGGAGAGGGAAGUGGAAUUGCCGGUGUAGUGGUGAAAUGCGUAGAGAUCGGCAGGAACACCAGUGGCGAAGGCGGCUUCCUGGCCCAUUCCUGACGCUCAGGUGCGAAAGCUAGGGGAGCGAACGGGAUUAGAUACCCUUGUAGUCU